rnacentral:lncRNA from 1 species
AUGGCGUGGAAGCUGCCGAUCCCUGCCAGCCUAGCUCUGCUGCUCGGUACCCUUGGCAGGAUGGCCGGGCCGGCGCCCAGGGCUGCAGGUGCUGUGCCAGAGAGACUCGGGGGGAUGUGCUACCACCUGGUCCGGGAAAAGAUGCCUUAUGGCAGAGCCUGGGUUGCCUGCGGGCGUUGGGGGAGCCGCCUGGCCCACGUCCAUCGGGCAGCAACGCGGGAGGCUCUGAGGACAGAGCUGGCAGGUGCCCCGAGCUGGUGGGUGGCCACAGAGGACCCUCUUGGCACAGGGAUCCGGCUUUGGCCGAAGGAGAGCCAUCAUCCUAGGCGCCUUCCGGCCUGUGCUUUCCUUUCCAGAUGGGGGAUGCUGCAGAGGGGCCUGGGCGCCGUGUGCCUGGAGAGGCGCCCCGUUAUAUGUGAAUUUGGACCUGGGCAGGGGGCCGAGUGCCCGCUCCAAAGAGCCAGGAGCCCCACAGUCAGGGCUGGGAAAACCCCAGAGACUCACCAGGUAGGUACAGCCAGCGCUCUUCCCUCUGAAUCCCAACCCGAAAGGGUCUCCUUUCCAUGGCCCGCCCGGCCCUCCUCCUGCCCUAGUCAUGCCAACUGCCCUGCCCUGGCCUCUUGGCAAAACGGAUGCGGUGCCCUUGCUUCCAGAACCGCUGGGGAGAGGCAGCACUCACUAAUGCCCCCCCCGCCCUGCAAAAAAAGGAUGAAGGAAGAACAGCCGACGUGUUGUGCACGUCGGGACCGCUGGAGGGAGGCGCCUUGCCCGGCUUGGCUUCCUUCCCUCUUGCCCACCGUCUCAGCUCAUCACCACCCUCUUCUC